GGCUGUAUUGGGUGCACGGUAGCACGUUCGCUUCACACCUCCAGGGUCGGGGGUUCGAUUCCCACCAGAGCCG